rnacentral:tRNA from 1 species
GCCUGGAUGGCUCAGUCAGUUAAGCGUCUGACUUCAGCUCAGGUCAUGAUCUCACGGUUCGUGAGUUCGAGCCCCACGUCAGGCU